UCUAUGGCCAUACUACCCUGAACAUGCCCUACCCCACCUGAUCUCAGAAGCUAAGCAAGGUCAGGCCUGUUUAGUACUUGGAUAGGAAAAUAAACUUAUCACAAGAA
rnacentral:rRNA from 1 species